CCCUCACUGUAUCUGCUCUGUACUGUAAAUUAUUUUAACCAAUAGUCGAACUGCAAAAUCCUUGUCCAAACAAAUGCGUGCUAUACCAGUGAUUCUGGAUUCCUGUUACUAAUUCCUGUUACUAAUUCCUGUUACUAUCUGUUGACAUUAUAGUUGCGCAGGAACUUUGUUGACUCUAGAGAACCUCGAGCAAAUCGCACAUCCCCGUGGCAGUGACUUUGCAUGCGGAUGUCAUCCAUAUCAACUUUCGAUGCCAGUUUCUGCGCCUACCACGGUGACCACGGGUAACAGGGAAUCAGGGUUCCAUUCUGUACAGGGACCCUGAGAAACGGCUACCACAUGCAAGGAAGGCAGCAGGCGCGCAAAUGACCCACUCCUGACACGGGAAGGUAGUGAUGACAAAUAACAAUACAGAACUCUUUAGAGGUCCUGUAAUUGUAAUAAGUCCACUUGAAAUCCUUUAACUCUGAUCAAUUGGAGGGAAGUCUGGUGCAGAGCCACUGACCCGUGCGUGCUGUAGCUGAAACUCCACU